UACGUAGGUGGCAAGCGUUAUCCGGAAUUACUGGGCGUAAAGCGCACGCAGGCGGCUGCGUAAGUCUGACGUGAAAUCUCCCGGCUUAACCGGGAGCGGUCGUUGGAAACUAUGCGGCUUGAGGCGAUGAGAGGGGUGUGGAAUUCCCGGUGUAGUGGUGGAAUGCGUAGAUAUCGGGAGGAACAUCAGUGGCGAAAGCGGCACCCUGGCAUUAGCCUGACGCUCAGGUGCGAAAGCGUGGGGAGCGAACGGG
rnacentral:rRNA from 1 species